UACGUAGGGUGCGAGCGUUAAUCGGAUUUACUGGGCGUAAAGCGUGCGCAGGCGGCCCGUUAAGACAGGUGUGAAAUCCCUGGGCUCAACCUAGGAAUUGCGCUUGUGACUGGCGGGCUCGAGUACGGUAGAGGGGGGUGGAAUUCCUGGUGUAGCAGUGAAAUGCGUAGAGAUCUGGAGGAAUACCGGUGGCGAAGGCGGCCCCCUGGGCCUGUACUGACGCUCAUGCACGAAAGCGUGGGGAGCAAACAGG
rnacentral:rRNA from 1 species